rnacentral:ncRNA from 1 species
AGAUUAAAUCAGGGGAGCUUGAAAACAGGCUGAGAGGAAGGUUCAUCCUUCGACCCUUUACCUGAUGCGGAUAAUGCCGCCGGAGGAAGUUAUUUUGUUGAACUU